rnacentral:tRNA from 1 species
AUUUUUAUUGACAUACCAAGUCAUCUAGUAAAAUGAGGAUGA